UAGUUUUCACGAGGGGAUGGUGUAGUAUCCUAGUCGGGGCGACCAUCUUCGAAGACGGGCCUAAAAAUCCGUUGCGGGCACAUCGAUGAAGUCCCUGGUGCUGGCUGCCGACGCCCAGUCGGGGGUUGGUGCUGGGGGUUAAGGGGAUGGGGCGAUCCACAAUGGCAUGUGGGCGUAGACCCCACCACCGUGGAGGCCCAAGUGCGUGGGGAUCCCGUUGUUAAAACGAAGCGUGAACUACGGCUUGGGGGUAAACCUGCAUAUGGUACGGGUCUUUUGUACUUAGUAUCGGUGCAGUGUAGCCUGCCUUGAGCGGGUUGGGAGGAUAUGGGUAAUCAAGCCGCCAAAGUUCUGCAGAACCAGGCGACUCUCUGCCAUUUGAAACCCAACGCCGCAAAAGAGGCUAGAAGAUGACUCGUUCUGUGGAGGAAAACUCCUAGGCUAUUCGAUUUUUCGAAUUUCACCGGGGAUUGCAGUGUGGACUCAGUGGUAAUCCAGUCCUGUUGUUGGCGACGAAACAGAGAGACCAUAAAGGGAAACCGCCGCUUCGGCGACGAAACGGAGGUCUCUGGGAAAACCUACUGGACCUAAGCCACAAUUUUUACUCGGCGGAUACCAUCCCCUCUUACAUAUUC
rnacentral:sRNA from 1 species